rnacentral:rRNA from 1 species
GACGAACGCUGGCGGCGUGCUUAACACAUGCAAGUCGAGCGGGAAACUUCGGUUUCCAGCGGCGGACGGGUGAGUAACACGUGGGCAACCUGCCUCACAAUGAGGGAUAGCCCUCCGAAAGGAGGAUUAAUACCUCAUAACACAAGAGAAACGCAUGUUUCUCUUGCCAAAGAAUUUCGUUGUGAGAUGGGCCCGCGGCGCAUUAGCUUGUUGGUGAGGUAACGGCUCACCAAGGCUUCGAUGCGUAGCCGACCUGAGAGGGUGAUCGGCCACAUUGGAACUGAGACACGGUCCAGACUCCUACGGGAGGCAGCAGUGGGGAAUAUUGCACAAUGGAGGAAACUCUGAUGCAGCAACGCCGCGUGAGUGAUGAAGGUCUUCGGAUUGUAAAGCUCUGUCUUCUGGGACGAUAAUGACGGUACCAGAGGAGGAAGCCACGGCUAACUACGUGCCAGCCGCCGCAGUAAGAC